rnacentral:rRNA from 1 species
GCUAAGGCUGAUGGCGACCGGCGCACGGGUGAGUAACACGUAUCCAACCUGCCGUCUACUCUUGGCCAGCCUUCUGAAAGGAAGAUUAAUCCAGGAUGGCAUCAUGAGUUCACAUGUCCGCAUGAUUAAAGGUAUUUUCCGGUAGACGAUGGGGAUGCGUCCAUUAGAUAGCAGGCGGGGUAACGGCCCACCUAGUCAACGAUGGAUAGGGGUUCUGAGAGGAAGGUCCCCCACAUUGGAACUGAGACACGGUCCAAACUCCUACGGGAGGCAGCAGUGAGGAAUAUUGGUCAAUGGGCGAUGGCCUGAACCAGCCAAGUAGCGUGAAGGAUGACUGCCCUAUGGGUUGUAAACUUCUUUUAUAAAGGAAUAAAGUCGGGUAUGCAUACCCGUUUGCAUGUACUUUAUGAAUAAGGAUCGGCUAACUCCGUGCCAGCAGCCGCGGUAAUACGGAGGAUCCGAGCGUUAUCCGGAUUUAUUGGGUUUAAAGGGAGCGUAGAUGGAUGUUUAAGUCAGUUGUGAAAGUUUGCGGCUCAACCGUAAAAUUGCAGUUGAUACUGGAUGUCUUGAGUGCAGUUGAGGUAGGCGGAAUUCGUGGUGUAGCGGUGAAAUGCUUAGAUAUCA